GAGAUUUUCUAACUUAGUGAUUUCUUUUCCUGCCUUCUUUUCUGUGCUUCUUGGCAAUCAUGUAAAAGUGGGCAGGGAGAGAGGAGGGCAUGGCCCAAAAGCUGCUCUCAAGCCCCAGCCCCUGUUCGAGUGGGGUUGCACACUUACACACUGCUCAGCCUUUCCCUCAUUCCUCAGGCGAAAGAAAGAGGUGUGGAAUAGUAUUCUUUUCUUCUUUUUCAACCAACGCUUUUUGUUUUUUCUCUCAUCAAUACCUUUUCCUUAUUGCCAGUGUGUGACCGCUAGCCUGAUAUUGACAUAAAAAGACAUCAGGUUCAAAUGCCAGAUUUCCACACCUACCUGCCAAAUCAUCUGUCCUUAAGGCUGAGGAAACAGAAUAAGCCACGUUUCAAGCCAAGCCUUCAUGCACUUCGGAAGCUUCUUCAGUUAUGGAACUCAGAAAAGAAAUAAACGCUCAACUUAAAGGCAUCUGAAGACACAUGCAGGCACAGGAUUGUCAUUACCGAGCUGCUGCAAAGACAUUUAUUUAAAAAUACAUCAUUGUUUAAUAUUUGAGCAAGAAAGCAUUUUUUUAAAGAACAUAGAUAUAUACUUGAAGUUGAGCCUAGCAAGGUGAGGUAGUAGGUUGUAUAGUUUGUGGGAUUGAGACAAUCCUACUCAGGUGAUAACUAUACAGUCUAUUACCUUCCUUGAAAGGUACAAUGAGUGCUUGGAAUGCUUCUCACUGGUUUAUCUACGUAGUGAAAGACUCUCUACCGCCACCGUAUGGCCAAAAUCUAAUAAAUGGCUACAUGCUGAAGUAUGGAUAUAUUUGAAGUUUUAAAGCCAGAUGCUAUACUUAAAAUAUAA